AUAUAUGUUUAAAGUUUGUUUUUUUAAUUUAAUUAUGUAGAAGUUAAUCAGAUGUAAAAGAAUUUUGGUUUUAUUUUGUAAUAUUUGCAAGAACUUUCCUUUGUUACCAUGGUUAUCUUCUUUUCUCAUUCUCAUUUUCCUGAUCUGUUAUUUUCACUGCUCCAGUAUUGUUUAUUUCUUUCAUAUCUUCUUUCUAUCCCAGCCUGGCCUUAUUUAUGUGUUGCCACAUUGAAUAGAUUAAAAUUAAUUAGGACAAACAAUUAUUUGUUCAGGGAAAACAUGGUAAAGAUUGCAUUCUUGCAGAAGACUUUUUAACCACUUCUGAGAGAGAGAAAGGGAAAAAACUGCUUCUAACACAACCUUUAAACAUCUUAUCCAUGAACAUCAAUUAUACUACAUUGUCAUGAUUGUACAAACAACUGUUAUAUAAGUGGGAGGUUUAGCUAGCUAUAAAGCCUGGCUUAACCCACCAUUUUCCUCAAAGGAAAUGCCUGUACCAAGUCAGGAAUAUGGCAGUUGUUUUUCAAAUGUUCUGAUUAUUGAUAGCGUUUGAAUUUGUCUUGGAGUUUGGUAUUUUUUUAUACUGUUUUUACUAAGAAAUUCAAAAUAAUAGAGAAAUGUGUAUGUGCAUAAUCAUUCCUUUCAAGAAAAUUACAUGUAAAGUAUGCAUGGUGCAUGAAUCUUGUGUCUGUCUGAAUAUAUGAAGUAUGUAAUUGGUGAAUUAAUAUUUAAAAUGGAAGGUACCCCCCUUUUGUCAAUAAUUAUCACAUCUCCAAUUCAUAGCUUUUUGUCAAUUAUUAUAUUUCCAAUUCAUAGUUGUACUUUCCCAAUACUGCUUAAUACAAUGAUGUGUCUUAUUCCUAGUCCCCACUCCAAUAUGAAUGCAAUCUUUACCCUUCAGUACUCAAAAGCACUUUGAUUAGAAUUUCACAUCAUAACACAGACUAGACGGUCACACAAUUUAAAUAAAUUCUUAUUAAAAAAAAAAAAUGUUCGUCUUUUUCAUAUUCUAUAUGUUGAAGUAGAUAUCAGGCUUAUAACAUUGUAUGCCGGGCAUAUUUUUCAUCUACAAAAGAAUUAUCAGCAAUGCACCAAUCAAAAAAGUUUUAAAGCUAAGUAAAUGUUACUAAGAAUCCAUCAAUAUCUAAUGGAACUUUUUAAACAUGAACACAAAAGAGGUUCUUUCUAGGAUGUUCAUGAUGUUUGAGCAUCAUAUGUCAUUGUUAAUAGAAUUAAUUUAACUUUGUAGAUUUACAAUUUAACAAAAUAAACAGAAAUAGCCAUCAUUUCAAAAGUUAUAGUUAUAAAAAAAAAAGAAUUUAAUACACUGUUCAGGGGUUUACUAUGAAUAUCCAGAAUAUUUUUACAUGCAUUAAUAAUUUUUUUCUUUAUUUUGUUUGAAAUAAUUAAUGCAUUAAAGUUGAAUCAUUCACCAGGCUGGCGUUUAAUAAGAAGUUAAAACUAGAAAUAAUAGAAGGGUUUAAAUUGUCUCUUAAUUUUCAUCUGACCUUAACCUUUUUUCAAGAAAAGCAGUCAUUAGUCAGAUAGAAAAAAAUAGUUUUUAAACUACCUGUAUAUUACCAUGGUUACUAUGAUAGUUUAUUUAGAUGAGAAUGGUUUAUUAAGGAAAAUACCAUUUUCAAUCUUAUGAGGAAAGGACAUUCCUCUGAUUCUGAAAAUUUGUCUUUAAAGGAGAGAUUUCCAGUGAAUUAAAUUAUUGUAAGGGAGAUAACUACUCUUUAGCAGUUGAACUGAGUGAAUCUCUUGUAAAGGGAGAUAACUGCUUUAUUAUGUCUAAUCAUAUGUAGAUUAUGUACAUAUACUUUGUUCAUGAGAAUGAUUUGUUUCUUGUUAUUAAAAAUAUCUUGAAAUAAAAUAAUGUGAAAC
rnacentral:lncRNA from 1 species